AUCAUGCCUAAUCUAGGAGAGCGUUGUGGGCAUCCCGAUGAAGCCAGCAGAAGUCGAGCGCCAUCGUAGAGCUGGAGUGGAACAAUGGGCUGCAACCGUCCUUGAAUCAAGGUGCAUCGUCGGCCAACGUGGGGUCUGGAGUGACGAUUAUUGACGCAGGUGGCAUGUUCGGGGCAUGGGAACUACCUCGUCGAAGUUCUCACCGCCACGGACCUGCUGUACGUCGUUGACCGGUCUCGCCUUCAUCUCCCCCAACGGUGGGAAACCCCCAUAUACUUUGUCGUGACCUUCUGUGCACAUAGCACUGAUUGAUGGUAAGUUAGGGGUCUUUCCCGCCUAAUAGGUUUGACGCUUCCCACCUAAUAAAUAACCACCACCAACAUAGGCCUUUUUACAUACAAGUCCGUCAAUCAGCACAAAUUUAACAGUAGGUACAAUCAUGAUAAGUUGGCAACAGCGAGGUCAUGCAUUUGUAAACACAUCUUUCCCACCUUUAACAAACUUAAUUAACCAAUCAGAUUGC
rnacentral:lncRNA from 7 species